AACAGGGUCAGCUAACUAAGCUUCUGGGCUCAUUCCCCAGCAAUAUAGGUUAAUACCCUAUUCCUGUUG
rnacentral:tRNA from 1 species